UUAUCUUGGUAGUAAAUAUACCACAAUUGGAACAAUACAGAAUAGAUUAGCAUGACCUUUAUGACACGCAAAUUUGUGAAGCAUUCAGUAUUCUA
rnacentral:snRNA from 1 species